GCCUGGGUGGCUCAGUGGUUGAGCGUCUGCUUUCGGCUCAGGGCGUGAUCCCAGACUUUGGGAUCAAGUCCCACAUCGGGCU
rnacentral:tRNA from 1 species